AUGGUCGCUGCUUCUGCCCUCUCCCUGAUCCUGUGCAGGGAUGGGGCACUGCUGAGCUUUCAGGAAGCUCUUCUUGAAAACUUCCAGCAUUCCCAGCUCCUUUGCCCUGCGUGGAAGCUUGCCAUGGAAUCCCUCACAACUGGCUACAGAGCAUACUCAGGUUGGCUCUUCCAAAUUCCAUGGGCUCCAGGGUGCUCAGCAGGAUCUGCAACUCCACCUUGUUGUGGAAGUGCACCUUCAGCACAGGCACCUUUCCAGCCUCAUCUGCCCUCCUUCCUCUGUGUGCGUGCACAGAAGAGGGCAUGGAAGAGAACCGCAGCAGGGGCCUGUGUGUCCCAGGGCCCGGGAUUUGCGCUGCUCCAGCUCCACAGAGAUGGAAGCAUAGUGAAGAAGCCAAACUGUUUAUGCAAGGUCCUCGAGUGCCUGGACAUGAUUGAACAUGAUGCUGACAGAGUCCUGCAAAUCUUCUCAAGGCACCUGUGGAGCGAGUGCAGAGAGAAGCGUCGCCUGGCACUCAAGGCCUUUCUCAAGCUCACUGACGAUCCCUCAAGGGUGAGAAGGGGACAGCAGCUGAAGCUGUGCAGGCAGUGUGGGGCUGGGGAACACAGUCGCAGGGCAGGUUGGCCGGGCUGGGGGAUACCUGGAGGGGCUGGGGCAGUGGGAAGCUAUUGGGUGUCAGAAUCCAGCCGCCGUCAGAAGGCAGCCGCCUUGUUCCCAACUCCCGGCUGCUCUGGCGCUUCCUCAGUGGGCGGUUGGAGGGACCCCCUGGCAUGUGGCGUGGAACCUUGUGCCCAGCCUUUCAGGUCUCUUAGGCUAGGAGUUGUGGGGCUGGGCAUGUGCCCUCCCCUGUGCUCAAGACUGGAGCCUCCGGCGCCUCAGCCUUAGGCAUUGAGCUCGACUGCCUGCUUGCUGUGUCUUGUUCCUGUUGCCAUGGGGGAGGCUGAGCUCUGUGUCUUUAGGCACAAAUGAGGGAGAAGAGCAGCAGCUUUGAGCCCAAGAGGGGCCACAGAAAGGCCCUCUGGACGAAGGGCGUUCCUGGCAUUCCCAGGGCAGGGACACAUGAGAGUGUGGGCAGGUACCUUCAGGGUGCCACGCUGCCUUUGUGCUGGUCUACCUCCUUGUGUGCAGGGCUGGGUCUUUGCUUUGCUGUCGUUGGCCUUUUGCUGUCGUGCUCCUUUGGCUGCCUGCAGAGAGGGGCAGCCCUGUAAGGAGGGUGAAA
rnacentral:lncRNA from 1 species